UACAGAGGUCUCAAGCGUUGUUCGGAUUCAUUGGGCGUAAAGGGUGCGUAGGCGGCGCGGUAAGUCGGGUGUGAAAUCUCGGGGCUUAACUCCGAAACUGCAUUCGAUACUGCGGUGCUUGAGGACUGGAGAGGAGACUGGAAUUUACGGUGUAGCGGUGAAAUGCGUAGAUAUCGUAAGGAAGACCAGUGGCGAAGGCGGGUCUCUGGACAGUUCCUGACGCUGAGGAACGAAGGUCAGGGGAGCAAACGGG
rnacentral:rRNA from 1 species